rnacentral:misc_RNA from 1 species
GCAAACUUGGUCAUUUAGAGGAAGUAAAAGUCGUAACAAGGUCUCCGUUGGUGAACCAGCGGAGGGAUCAUUAACAAUUUCCGCGCUGAGCUCAGGGGGGAAACCCCCUGAUGCCCCGGAAAAACCCCUGUGAACUUUACCUAUUGUUGCCUCGGCGUGGCGUGUUCUGCACGUCCGCCGAUGGACCUAAAAUACUCCCUAAAUCUUUGAGAAACAUCUGAUUACCAAACAAACAAAUGUUAUAAAACUUUCAACAACGGAUCUCUUGGCUCCAGCAUCGAUGAAGAACGCAGC